rnacentral:rRNA from 1 species
UACGUAGGGUGCAAGCGUUAAUCGGAAUUACUGGGCGUAAAGCGUGCGCAGGCGGUUUGUAAGUCUGUCGUCGAAAUCCCCGGGCCGUCAACCUGGGAAUUGCGAUGGAGACUGCAAGGGCUAGAAUGCUGGCAGAGGGGGGGUAGAAUUCCAACGUGUAGCAGUUGAAAUGCGUAGAGAAUGUGGAGGAACACCGAUGGCGA